rnacentral:misc_RNA from 1 species
AGAAAGAGUCAGAGUUGCUGGUGA